UUAAGUAGACCGCCUGGGGAGUACGGCCGCAAGGUUAAAACUCAAAUGAAUUGACGGGGGCCCGCACAAGCGGUGGAGCAUGUGGUUUAAUUCGAUGCAACGCGAAGAACCUUACCUGGUCUUGACAUCCACGGAAGUUUUCAGAGAUGAGAAUGUGCCUUCGGGAACCGUGAGACAGGUGCUGCAUGGCUGUCGUCAGCUCGUGUUGUGAAAUGUUGGGUUAAGUCCCGCAACGAGCGCAACCCUUAUCCUUUGUUGCCAGCGAUUCGGUCGGGAACUCAAAGGAGACUGCCAGUGAUAAACUGGAGGAAGGUGGGGAUGACGUCAAGUCAUCAUGGCCCUUACGACCAGGGCUACACACGUGCUACAAUGGCGCAUACAAAGAGAAGCGACCUCGCGAGAGCAAGCGGACCUCAUAAAGUGCGUCGUAGUCCGGAUUGGAGUCUGCAACUCGACUCCAUGAAGUCGGAAUCGCUAGUAAUCGUGGAUCAGAAUGCCACGGUGAAUACGUUCCCGGGCCUUGUACACACCGCCCGUCACACCAUGGGAGUGGGUUGCAAAAGAAGUAGGUAGCUUAACCUUCGGGAGGGCGCUUACCACUUUGUGAUUCAUGACUGGGGUGAAGUCGUAACAAGGUAACCGUAGGGGAACCUGC
rnacentral:rRNA from 1 species